ACGAACGCUGGCGGCGUGCCUAAUACAUGCAAGUCGAACGCUUCUUUUUCCACCGGAGCUUGCUCCACCGGAAAAAGAGGAGUGGCGAACGGGUGAGUAACACGUGGGUAACCUGCCCAUCAGAAGGGGAUAACACUUGGAAACAGGUGCUAAUACCGUAUAACAAUCGAAACCGCAUGGUUUUGAUUUGAAAGGCGCUUUCGGGUGUCGCUGAUGGAUGGACCCGCGGUGCAUUAGCUAGUUGGUGAGGUAACGGCUCACCAAGGCGACGAUGCAUAGCCGACCUGAGAGGGUGAUCGGCCACAUUGGGACUGAGACACGGCCCAAACUCCUACGGGAGGCAGCAGUAGGGAAUCUUCGGCAAUGGACGAAAGUCUGACCGAGCAACGCCGCGUGAGUGAAGAAGGUUUUCGGAUCGUAAAACUCUGUUGUUAGAGAAGAACAAGGAUGAGAGUAACUGUUCAUCCCUUGACGGUAUCUAACCAGAAAGCCACGGCUAACUACGUGCCAGCAGCCGCGGUAAUACGUAGGUGGCAAGCGUUGUCCGGAUUUAUUGGGCGUAAAGCGAGCGCAGGCGGUUUCUUAAGUCUGAUGUGAAAGCCCCCGGCUCAACCGGGGAGGGUCAUUGGAAACUGGGAGACUUGAGUGCAGAAGAGGAGAGUGGAAUUCCAUGUGUAGCGGUGAAAUGCGUAGAUAUAUGGAGGAACACCAGUGGCGAAGGCGGCUCUCUGGUCUGUAACUGACGCUGAGGCUCGAAAGCGUGGGGAGCAAACAGGAUUAGAUACCCUGGUAGUCCACGCCGUAAACGAUGAGUGCUAAGUGUUGGAGGGUUUCCGCCCUUCAGUGCUGCAGCUAACGCAUUAAGCACUCCGCCUGGGGAGUACGACCGCAAGGUUGAAACUCAAAGGAAUUGACGGGGGCCCGCACAAGCGGUGGAGCAUGUGGUUUAAUUCGAAGCAACGCGAAGAACCUUACCAGGUCUUGACAUCCUUUGACCACUCUAGAGAUAGAGCUUCCCCUUCGGGGGCAAAGUGACAGGUGGUGCAUGGUUGUCGUCAGCUCGUGUCGUGAGAUGUUGGGUUAAGUCCCGCAACGAGCGCAACCCUUAUUGUUAGUUGCCAUCAUUUAGUUGGGCACUCUAGCAAGACUGCCGGUGACAAACCGGAGGAAGGUGGGGAUGACGUCAAAUCAUCAUGCCCCUUAUGACCUGGGCUACACACGUGCUACAAUGGGAAGUACAACGAGUCGCAAAGUCGCGAGGCUAAGCUAAUCUCUUAAAGCUUCUCUCAGUUCGGAUUGUAGGCUGCAACUCGCCUACAUGAAGCCGGAAUCGCUAGUAAUCGCGGAUCAGCACGCCGCGGUGAAUACGUUCCCGGGCCUUGUAUACACCGCCCGUCACACCACGAGAGUUUGUAACACCCGAAGUCGGUGAGGUAACCUUUUGGAGCCAGCCGCCUAAGGUGGGAUAGAUGAUUGGGGUG
rnacentral:rRNA from 1 species